rnacentral:lncRNA from 1 species
UGUUGUUGUUGGUUCUUUUGGUCGGUCUUCUGCCCUUCAGAAUCUUUGUGAUUUGUCUCGGUUGAGUUUGGGACGAGAAAAGAGAACGAAACAGCCGAGGUAGAGCGGGGGAAUAUUUAUGUAGGUAGCAUCAAUUCUGUCAUAGGGUUGGUUGGUUGGCUUUCAAGCUAAGGUGGUCGGGUCGGUUUGGUUUGGUUUUUGGUUUUAUAUUUUAUGGUUGAGGGUUGGUUGGGAAGGUG